AAACACUGGGACUGCAGCUGGUGAAGCAAACUUUGCUAUACGAUUACAGUUUCAGCGUAAAUUGGAUCUGGUUGCUGCCACUAUGCAAUACAAAUAUUCAUUUUUUUCUGCAUGUUCGGAUGAUGUAACAAUUCAUGAUACUUUUACCGUUUGUGUGCCUAACAAAGGUCAUCCGGCAGGUUGGUGUGUUGGUGAUAUAGUCCCGUGCCUUUUUCUGCUUGUCCUUGGAUGGGCAUCAUUACUGUAAAAUGAUUUGACGGCUUAACCGUUCGAUCUUUAUUAUACCCUGUGAAAUACACGAUGGAUGCUUGGUGCUCAAUCUGUAUGCGAGUAGAUUUUCUGCUGGACUGUACGGUACUAGUCCCAAACUCCCAUCCGAUCCAGGCUCUCCUCGCCCCUCUG
rnacentral:lncRNA from 1 species